GAUGAAGAACGUAGCGAAAUGCGAUAAGUAAUGUGAAUUGCAGAAUUCAGUGAAUCAUCGAAUCUUUGAACGCACAUUGCGCCCGCCAGUAUUCUGGCGGGCAUGCCUGUCUGAGCGUCAUUUCAACCCUCAUGCCCCUAGGGCGUGGUGUUGGGGAUCGGCCAAAGCCCGCGAGGGACGGCCGGCCCCUAAAUCUAGUGGCGGACCCGUCGUGGCCUCCUCUGCGAAGUAGUGAUAUUCCGCAUCGGAGAGCGAUGAGCCCCUGCCGUUAAACCCCCAACUUUCCAAGGUUGACCUCAGAUCAGGUAGGAAUACCCGCUGAACUUAAGCAUAUAAUAAGCGGAGGA
rnacentral:misc_RNA from 1 species